GAUGAAGAACGCAGCGAAAUGCGAUAAGUAAUGUGAAUUGCAGAAUUCAGUGAAUCAUCGAAUCUUUGAACGCACCUUGCACCCUUUGGCAUUCCGAAGGGUAUGCUCGUUUGAGUGUCAUUGUACUCUCACACUUCCAAUCUUUGGAUUGGGAGCGGUGGACUUGGGUGUUGCUGCUUACUGUGGCUCACCUCAAAUCGAUUCGUGCACCUCUUGGUUGGACAUAGUACGGCGUGAUAAGUGUCUUCGCCGACACCUCAGUAGAGGGUGGCUGAUCAGGAGCUCUGUGCUUCAAACCGUCCUCGGACAACAACUGACAACUUGACCUCAAAUCGAGUAGGACUACCCGCUGAACUUAAGCAUAUCAAUAAGCGGAGGA
rnacentral:misc_RNA from 1 species